GCCUCGAUAGCUCAGUUGGGAGAGCGUAAGACUGAAGAUCUUAAGGUCACUGGUUCGAUCCCGGUUCGAGGCA
rnacentral:tRNA from 1 species